GAUGAACGCUAGCGGCAGGCCUAACACAUGCAAGUCGAGGGGUAGUUACUUUCGGGUAAUGAGACCGGCGCACGGGUGCGUAACGCGUAUGCAAUCUACCUUUUACAGGGGAAUAGCCCAGAGAAAUUUGGAUUAAUGCCCCAUAGUAUGUAUGAAUCGCAUGGUUUAUAUAUUAAAGUUCCAACGGUAAAAGAUGAGCAUGCGUCCCAUUAGUUAGUUGGUAAGGUAACGGCUUACCAAGACGAUGAUGGGUAGGGGUCCUGAGAGGGAGAUCCCCCACACUGGUACUGAGACACGGACCAGACUCCUACGGGAGGCAGCAGUGAGGAAUAUUGGACAAUGGGCGCAAGCCUGAUCCAGCCAUGCCGCGUGCAGGAAGAAGCAUCUAUGGUGUGUAAACUGCUUUUGUACGGGAAGAAACACUCCUACGUGUAGGAGCUUGACGGUACCGUAAGAAUAAGGAUCGGCUAACUCCGUGCCAGCAGCCGCGGUAAAAGUGU
rnacentral:rRNA from 1 species